UUAAGUUCAGCGGGUAGUCCUACCUGAUUUGAGAUCAAACGUUCAAAAAGCUGUCCCCGUCGAGGAGAGACGUUUGUGAGCUCCAGUGAACCUCCGUUUCCGAAGGUUACCUGGCGGAAAACCACGAGCGUAGAUAGUUAUCACACCCGUGACGCCACCAAACACUGGCAAGCUGAUCCAUUUGAGAGGAGCCGACCACA
rnacentral:misc_RNA from 1 species